rnacentral:rRNA from 1 species
AGAACGAACGCUGGCGGCAUGCCUAACACAUGCAAGUCGAACGCUUCCGGGGCUUCGGUCGCGGAGGAGUGGUGCACGGGUGAGUAGCGCGUGGGAACCUGCCCUGUUGUGGGGGAUAACCGAGGGAAACUUCGGCUAAUACCGCAUACGCCCCGGGACUUGGUCUUCGGAUUAGGUCUGGGGGAAAGAUUGAUCGCAGCAGGAGGGCCCGCGUCGGAUUAGCUGGUUGGUGGGGUAACGGCUCACCAAGGCGAUGAUCCGUAGCUGGUCUGAGAGGAUGAUCAGCCACACUGGGACUGAGACACGGCCCAGACUCCUACGGGAGGCAGCAGUGGGGAAUAUUGGACAAUGGGGGCAACCCUGAUCCAGCAAUGCCGCGUGAGUGAUGAAGGCCUUAGGGUUGUAAAGCUCUUUCGCCGCGACGAUGAUGACGGUAGCGGGAGAAGAAGCCCGGCUAACUUCGCGCCAGCAGCCGCGGU